UAUGCAAUGAAUUCGUCUAAUGCGAUCACGCACUUUCUCGAACUUAAACUAAACUUCGGAAAUCUAGGUAAAAGGUGAUCUAAUUGCACUUGAAGGAAUUAGUACGGCUUUACGGCGUGAGUGAAAAGAACGUUUGAAUGUUUUGCGAAAAUUAUACGGGAUCGGGUUGAAAUAUACUCUAGUUGUGUUACUUAGUACAUAUUUAUAAAACAGUUUACAAAGCAGUCACGGUAGUGUUGCUUGAGUCGGUUGUUUGUUGCAUGCGUCCCUGUAAAGGUGAAGUGAAAUAGAGUAGAAGAAAGCUUUUACAUGGAAACAGCUGAAAGUGACAGCUAACAAAUAAACUGAUCUGUCAGAUUAAAUUUCCUUCAGUAGUUUGUUGCAAAUUACCAUGGAAGUGUUUACUGUAUUUCAACGCAUAAUAACUGUGGAAAUAUAUUUCCGAGUUUGGAAUUUUGAAUGGGGACAUUACUUUCAUAUGUUUCAACAGCAAGUCAAUUUAGAUCAAAUAUUUUUCUGGCCAAAUGGAAACGGAAUUGCACAAUAUUGCUGUAAUUGGAGCUACAAUCUUGUUUAGUUUGAUUCGAAUGCCUAUGGCUUGGAUAACGAUGAAAUUUACAUCGACGAUUAGAAAAAAAAUUACUGAAGAUGAAAUGAUUGACGACGCCCAGCAUGUUAUUGGAGAAUGGCUUUAAUGGAAAAACCAUAAAUAAUAAUAUAAUCAAUAUUAGAAUCUGUGUUAAACUUUUGAUUUAUGGAAAAUAUUUAAAAUAAAAACUUUGUAUCGCUCAAAAAGCACCCUUUACAUUA
rnacentral:lncRNA from 1 species